UGCCACUCCAACGGCCAACUCCGUGUUGUAGUCGUCGUUCAUUUGCCAGGAAAACUGUCUCUGCUACCUACAAAAGCCAGCAAUUGAAUCAUCAUUGCCGCAUGAUUUAUUAUUAAAGUACCAGCUUCUACUUUCAGUUUCUACAGUGUAGAGAGCCAGAAUGGAACAUGUUAUCGUUUCCAGGCAGAGUAGUAGCAGUGAAGACAUUUGCUCUUUAGUGUUUACUAGAGCAGCUUUAUGUUUGCUAAUAAUAUUUAGUAAUGCUACGAUAUAUAUUGUAUUAUAUUAUUUAGGGCUUCCUCAUUGGGCUUAAUGUUGCUCAAGUUUUCUUUAGCACUGAUGUAAGAAUUUUGGAUCAGAACACGUUAAUUGAGCUGGACAGAUUACCAAUUCAAUUGGAUUCACGGCGGGUCAAUUCAACGCGAUCUUUUAAAGGGUACUGUUUUUUUGAUCUUUUAAA